rnacentral:lncRNA from 1 species
AAAAGCUCCUUAUCUAUGGAGCAAGUAGAAAGAGUGAGAGACAUGCAUAGAGAUGAUCUUGAGGGGAAAAAGUGUUUCAUGCAUCAGAAAGCCUCUUCUUCUGACUCUGGGAAGAUAGGCUUGAGCGGAGGAAAUCUUGUUUCGCAGAAUUCUUGACAGUCCCGUUAAUGAAUCUCUGGUACCAUUUGCCAGAUUCUUUGAGGUUUCUGUCGUCGAGAUCUUAAUAUGAGAAUGGGGAAGCAUUCAUAAAACAUAAAGUACUGAGGUUUACCUUCUUUUGGUUUUCUUGAUUAUAUAAGAACCAAAAUAAAAUAAAAUCAUUUGAAUGAUAGGAAAAUCAUAUGUAAAAUACUAUUAAGUUUCAGUUGAGGAUGAUAGAACUUUGGUGCAGCUAGAUUUGAGUUUGUAUAAGGUUUGGUCAUUGUUUAUUAUGUUGAAAGUCUAUUCUAGUAUAUAAAGUUGAACUUAUUAAGUUAACUAGGCAAAGAGCCCGUGCGAUAUCGCACGGGAACUCAUUUUAUAAAGAAUAUAUUAUAAUCUAUAAUUUAUAAUUUUAUAUGCCUGAUAAAAAAUUAAAUCAUAUAAAUAAUUAACUUUAAUUUUGAUGAUUAAAAUAUGAUUUACAAAGUAUUCAAAUAUAUAUAUAUAUAUAUAUUUUUUAUAAACCUUAAUGUUCCCUUUAAUUUUUUAUCAAAACACAUAUUGUAACAAUUGUGUCUUCAUCCUUUUUAAGUUUUUUCAUACAUUUUUCACAUGAUAGUUAUCUUCAACCACUUUUUGAACAAAAUGCAAUUUUUUUUGCAUGAUAUAUAAUUUUUUUUCCUAUUUAAGACAUAAUAUUAAAAUUAUUAGUUUAUAAUUUUAAACAAUUAUAAUUUAUAUGUUGGUAAUUGUUAUUUUGUAUAUUUAUCUACCUGCUUUAUUUAUUGAAAAUGAAUAUUCAGAAAAUUGAAUAUUGUAAUAAAUAUAUGUUGAUUUACGUUAAUAUGACCCGUCUCAUUUAUAAUAUUUUUUUUUUAAUUUUUGGGAGAGUUCUUAUAAAAUACCAACACUUAUUAUAUAAACUAACACAUUACUUAAAUAAAACCAAUAUUUUUUAAAGCAAUCCCACUUUGAGAUGAAAAGACACCUUGUUUAGAUGAAAAGUUGCAACUUUGACAUUAUUUUUUUCACCAUUUUAUUAUUAGUAGAUUAGUGAAAACUUGAUUUGAAAAAUGCAUGGGAGAUACGAUUUAUAGAUUUUUUAAAGCCUAUUUGAAUAGUCACAACCUUUCAAUAUGAAUAGUCGUAUUCUUCUAAUACUCACAACUUCUUACUUUUUAAAAGAUACUAGUGAAUAGUCACAACUUUUAGACUAUUUUUAGAAGGACACAACCUUACAACAUAUAACUUUUAGAAAAGACACAACCCUCUACACAUAUUUUUCAAAAGACACAACCUUUCAACAUAAUUGAAGUUCACAACCUUAGGAAUUAAUUGGAAAAGACACAACCUUACAACAUAGAACUUUUAGAAAAGACACAACCAUUUACACUACUUUUUCAAAAGACACAACCUUUCAACAUAAGUGGAUUUACAACCUUAAAAAUUAAUUGGAAAAGACACAACCUUCCGACAUAGAACUUUUAGAAAAGACACAACCCUUUACACUUCUUUUUCAAAAGAUACAACCUUUCAACAUAAGUGGACUCAUAACCUUUGGAAUUAAUUAGGAUUGCUAUUAUUAGUACUAGGAUUCGGACCCCCGCGAAAUCGCGGGGGAGGAUGUCUUAAUUUCGACACUGCUUAAGUAAACUGCCGCAAUGUCUCUAUGACACCUCCUCGUCUCAUCGUCAGAUCUACUGUGCAAGAGUGUGGACUCGCCAGAUUUACUCGGUACUACAUCACUGAUGUGUUUCUAUCAUACUAAACCGUCUCAAGCAUUGAUGGUUCUUCACAAAAUCGGCUCUACGGCUCUCCUUCUCCUUUCCUCGUGGCCGUUACUUUUCUGCAGAGUCGAGAAUUUUAAAAUCCAUAAAUUCCCAGAAAACGUUGAUCGAAACGGGCUGAUAUCGAGAUAACUCUAUGUUAACACUAUUAUAUGCUAUUGAAAUUAAGUUUUAACGCAAUUAGGGUACAUAAUUGUAAUAAUUAUACAAAUGGCUUUACUUCAAUUUCAACACUACUUUAAUCAACUACCGCAACAUCUCUAUGACACCUCCUCUUCUCAUUGCCAGAUCUACUAUACAAGAGUGUGGACUCGCCAGAUUUACUCGGUACUACAUCACCACUGUGUUUUUAUCACACUAAACUGUCUCAAGCAUCAACGGUUCUUCACAGAGUCGGCUCUACGGUCACCAUUGCAUCUCCAUCACGCUAUAGCGUCUCAAGCAUUGACGAUUCUUCACAAAGUCGGUUUUACAAUCGUCUCAUCCUUUUCCUCAUCGCAUGAACUAUUGUGCAAGAGUGUGGAUUCCCCAAAUUUGUUUGAUACUACGUCCUCGUUGCGGUUCCAUCAGAUUACACCGUCUCAAGCAUUGACAGUUCUUGACAUAGUUAGCUAUGUGACCCGUUCACGGGAACUGCUAUCUUCUACAAAGAUUCAUAGACUUUUCACCUUCAAAACCCAUUUGUUUGGUUUUUCAACGUCGCUUUCGACUUCUUUGUGUUCCUUCGAAUACAUGCUUUAGGACUACAAAUGAAAAUUCUCUUUAAAUCUUUUCUCUCUUUAGUCACAUCUAUCUUUCGUUAUGUUUCAGCUAUUUUAGUUUAUCAGUUUACUGUCGAGAAUCUCUUCUCCGAUGUUAACCAACUUAGCCCAUAUAAGUAUUUGGUGUUAAAAAAAGUUGUAUAUUUGAUUUCAAAAAGAAAAUUUAAAUUAAUAUAUAAAACGGUAAGUCAAAUUAUAAUAUAUAAAAUUAAUAUUGAAAAGAACGUAUAAAUGAUAUAUUUAAAAUGAAAAGAAAAACAUAUUUCAAAAUAUUUUAAACUAUUGCAUAUUCAUCACAAAUAAAAUGUACUAUGCAAAUUUUAUGCUCAAUAUUGUUAAAUAUAAAUCAAAUGUACAUAUUAAUUAUGAAUACGAGAGUUCAAAUAAUUUACAGUGUCAAAAAUGGUAUAAUAUAUCUUUGGUGGAAAAUGAAAUUAGGUUGUAGGUCAAACUAUGCGAUCAUUACGAGAAUACAAAUGAAAGAAGAUAAUUAUUUUAUACUAUAUUUGGAUACUUUUUUAGAAAUUAAAACAAAAGAAAGGUUUAAAAUGAAUGUUUGGCUGUAUAGAAGAACAUAAAACACCAUAAUCUUUGAAACUAAAAAAUAAAGUAUAUCUUGAACUACUAAACAAAGAAACCACAAAAUGUUUAAAUAUCUUUUAGAAAAGGAAAAUUUUAAAAUUGAACAUAUACGAAUUGCGAUGUCGAACUUUAGUGUUCAAAUGUAUACACUGAGAAAUAACCAUUCAAAUGUGAAACAAGAAAAUAGUGGAACAAAUAAAUGUGCAUACUGUCAUGCAACAAAAUUUUAAUAUUGGAAUAUAAUAUAGGAAAUGAAAAAAUAAGUGUUAAAGGUAUUAAUUAUUUGAUUAAAUAAGUGGUUACUAAAUAAAUUAAAUAUAUAUUUAAAUUUAUAAUUGGAAUAUAACCUUAUCAUGAGUUUUUACUUUUUAAAAUGUAGAGCUCUUCCGAAAAUUGAACAUACUCAAAAUUUGGGUCUUUUGGAUCAUUUUAUACAUUUCUAGUUAUAGAAUUUGAAAUAUUUUAAUAUUCUCUCAGUGAAUUGGAAUUCAGUUCUACUAUAAUUUAGAUAAUUAUAAUUAACAUAAACAUGUUUAAAAAAUCCUAAACUGGAAGCAUUGUCAAACUUAAACCUACAAUUGAGUUGUUGUGAUAUGAAAUGAAAUAAACAAAUUUUAAAGACAGCUGUUAAUAUUUUUUUACUAUAACAAGCAGUUAUAGCCAGAAAGAAUUCGGAAGAAAAUAAGGUUUAACAAUCGUUGUCAAUUUUUCUUUUAUUUUUUGUUUCAUUUCAAAUGUCUACAGUAGUUGCCAUCCUUCUUAAGAAACAGUAAAAACUUUAUAUAUUAAUAUUUGAAAAAUUUAUAAGUUAACGCAAUCUUUACAAAUGGGUCGUAUCAUACCAAUGAUAUAAUUUUAUAUAUGUUUUUUUUUUUUGAAAAAGGGUUUUCAAAUAAUUUUUUUUUUAUAUAUGUAGAAAAAUAGAAAUUAAAAUUAACAGAGAUUGAGUUUCCUUCAUAAUAAUGUGACUGAUAUUAUAAUCAAGGUUUUUUGUUUGAAUUAUCUUCAUCAUAAUGUGACUGAUAUUAAGAUUAAGGUUUAUGGUUUGAAUUACCUUCAUCAUAAUGUGACUGAUAUUUAAAUUCACUGAAUAGUGCACACAUAUUUCGGGCCUUUCGAGUCAGGAUCCAUUCACACCCAUUCGAUUAGACCUGUUUGCAUCUGUUCAUAACUCGUUUGCACUCACGACCAGUUAAAACGAUUUUGACUGUUUGGAAAAUUGGUGGCACAUGUUUUGUUACUUUUUGUUUGCACAUUCUUCUAUUUCUUAAUAAUCUCAUAUGCUCAUAACAAUAGUAUUAAGAUAAUAAGAGUAAUGGACAAAAAAAUUUCAAGGUGGUUGCUAUCUUGUCUUUAGUAAGAUUCUUGUCUUUAGUAAGAUUAUUCCAGCAUGAACACCAUUUAGUGGAUUUUAUAACUUUGUAAUAAAUGAAUAUCACUGAGAGAAAAAGUUUACAUAUCACCAUGUGCAUAAAGGAAUGUGUUGUUUAAAUAAAUAAUUGUUCAAGGAAGAGUUGCCAAGUAUAAAUUUAUUGAUGACACCAACAAAAGUAUUUUAUGUUCUUUUAGUUCAUAAAAAAAAAAAUUAUUCCCAUUAGAUUGAAAUUUUAUUUUUCUGUAAAAAAAGAUGCAUGUGAAAAAGGUGUGUGUUUUUAGAAAUUAAAAAUCAUUUUGAAGAGUGUAUCUUUCAUAAAUUAAUUGAGACGUGUAAACGGUGCGUCGGAAGGACAUGAUUAAACAGUUUUUUCUCUUUCAACCUAUGAACCAAUCUAAGCAUAGACCUGGUCCAUCCAACAUCACGUCCAUUCCUUUAAUAGAGUUUUAUGGUUGGAAAGAAAGAAAACUCGAUCUCUAAAAAAAUAGUUUAAUUAGUCUUUUAUAUCCCACAUGCAAACGAAGAUGUUCCCUUUUGCGGCUAAGAGCAUCUCCAAAAGAAACUCUAUAACUCCAAAUAUAGAGUUUUUUGCUCUCCAAAAAGGAAAUUCAAAACUUCAAAUUUGAAGUUUUGAAGAGUGAAACUCCAAAUAUAGAGUUUCACUUUUCAAAACUUCAAAUUUGAAGUUUCAUCUUUUUAUUUGCAUUUUGGUUCUUACAAUUAUACAUCAUAUUUAUAAUUCUUAAAUAUUUUUUUUGUUUAUUGUUUUAAUCCUUAAAACUUUUAUAUCUCAUAAAUAUUUCAAAUUUGUUAUAUAAACUUAAGUUUUACACAUGAAAUUAAAUAAAAAAAAUUAAAACAAGAUUUAUAAUAUUUUAAAACUAGAAUUAAACAACAAGAAUAUUACAAAAAACCAUAAUAAAAACUUAUUAAAAAGACACAUGAAGACAUAAUUAUUACUCAAAUUUAAAUAUUAUAACAACACUAAUAGUCUGGUAAAUUUGCUCCGGAAACUCCAAAAUCUCCAAAAUAUUGUUCAACAAAUUUUGUGUAACCGAAGAUGAUUGUUGUUGUUGCUCUUGACGCAUUUUUCGUAUGAUUCUUUCUUGUUCAGAUCGAAUGUAUUCACGAAUAUUAACGUCAUCGAUAGAAGCUAAGUUUUUUAGCAAUAUUUUAUUUUCCUCUUUUAUUUCUUUAAAAGCUAACUUUUUUGCUUCAUUUUGCAGUCGUAAUUCAAUCAUCUCAUGACCUUUUUCCCUGCUUGUUGUACUUUCGUUUAAAAGAUCAAGGAUUUUUUCGUUUGAUGAUAUCAAACUAUCAGCAGACAUAUUAUGAGGAUAUCCGGUUUCAACAAUUUUUGGCUCGUAAUCUACAAAUAAAAAAUAAAGAGAAUCAUUUCUUACUUCGAAAUAGUUGAUCAUAUAUGGGAGCAUUAUGGAAAUAAUUUUAUGCAAUAAUGUAAUAUUUGCUUGCAGUUUAAUAUUUAAUUAUGUACUUUUAUUUAUAAUUUUAUAUUUUAGUGUAAGAUUUUUUUUUUAAUUAAUAUUUCUGUAAUAUUUAUAUAUAUGUAUUAAUUAUUUAUAGAAGUUUUAUGAAUUUACAUCAACUAUGACAAACAUAAGGAUCAUAGUGUAAAAUAUAAAUAAUUUUGAAGUUAGGUUUGAAGUUUUAUUUUUGGAAAAGAACACAUUGAAACUUCAAAUAUAAAGUUUUGGAAACUUCAAAAUAGAGUUCCUUUUUGGAGAUGCUCUAAUAAACACUCAAAUCAUCCAGUCAUUCCCAUCUAAUUAUUCAGUCGACUGAUUAAAAUAACGAUGGAAAAACGUAACUCCAGCCUUCCGUACUUUUUCUUUAUAACAUAAUACUACUUGCCGUUGAAUUUUUUUUAAAUUUGCUUAUCAUGUAUCUACAAAGUAAUAGCCAAAAGAAAAUGUUUUGAAAAUCAAUUUCUUCCUUACUUUUUUUUGAAGAGGCAAAGCGUUUAAUUUGCCGCAACCAAACCGGUCAGAAUCCAAAGCAAACAGCGUUUGAAGAAGAUUGUACGGAGACCAAAGCGCGUCUAACUGACAAGGCCGACUAGUGUUGAGUCUAGCCCAUGGUUUGCCUUCCCCACUCCAGUCCACGAAAAUUUUCUCCUCCCAAACCGUUUGUAAAACCAAAAGAAGUGUUUCAAAAUUCAUAAUGAAACGGACACAAACAUACACGAUGAAAACAACAUCAACACUAAAGUAUAACCAAACAAAUAAAAUUUUCAACAUAAAUUAAGAACAUGUAUGAAAUAAAAGACGAUAAGUUAAAUCAAAGAGUGAAUAAUUAAUUUGAACCAGUUAAUCGGCUUCUUCUCUGCAUACUUCUACAAUCUAUUCACUGCAUUUGAAACAAUGCAUCUCUAUGUUUGGAAAUUUGUUAAAUACAAAAUAUCAUUACUUCUAUUCAGUGUCGUACCUCUCUGAGAUGAACUGAAUCGUGAGUCUAACAGAGAGUAAUCAAAUAAUGAUGGGAAGUGUUAGGAGAAAUGUCUUCUCCUAACACUUUUUUUUUUUUUUUUGCAAAAAAAAAGUGUUAGGAGAAGAAAUCUAAGCCAAAAAUUGUACUUACUAUAAUUGCAGAAACUCCUAGGAGACAUUAAAUUUGAUAAUUAGUGAAUUGAAGAGAAAGAGCAACACCAUCAGGUUUGAAAUUAUAAGAAAAGAAGAAAGGGCGAAAGGAACAAUGAUCUGCAACAGAAAAAACAAACUACAGAUUUCGAUGUCGAGGAAAUGGUGGGAGGUUAAAAGCAGAAGGGAGAAGUUAAGAAAACGUGAAACAUAUCUGAAAACCGAUACAGUCUCUCUUCAAUAUAUAAUUUUUGAAAAGUUGCAAUUCUUAAACGAAGUUGAUGACGGUUCCACUGAAACACUAAGUGUGAAAAGAUAUACAAAAGUAAAGAUAAUUUCUACAAUUUGUCAUAAACUCUGGAAGGGAUUUCCCUCUGCAACAUCAUGUGCGAAAAGAAUUGUAGGUAACAGUUGUAAGCUUUGGUGGUUUUUACAACUUUCUAUUAUCAAAUACAUACAACUUACUCUAUUUUAUGAAAAGGUUCAAUCAAAGGGUCGUUAAAUGGUAAAAUCUCUGAAAAGAUACAACUUUUCACUGAAUGAACAUGUUUUUUGCUUAAGUGAACGGUUUUAUCACAGGUUUCUACUAUGAAAGAGUUCAAGUACGGGUUUGAUGGUUAAAAAAUCUGAAAAAAUACAACUUUUCAUUGAAUAAACAUGUUUGUUGUUCAAGUGAAACUAUGACAUCAUACUCAGGAUCCUAAAUAAAAUCAUAGCCGUUAGAUUAGAAGUUAGAAACAAACUUCACCGUUGGAUGUUAACUUUUUUUUCCUAUAAAAAGUUGAUGACAUCAUCAGGUAAAAAAACAGGUUUGCUAUUAUAUAUAGAUUAGUAGAUUAGUGAAUUUAAGCUGAUCGGUUUGAUGUUUAUAUAUUUAUUACACAAAACUAGUUUGCGGUUUGGAGUAAUUAUUUAUUUAUUUUCUCUGUGUGUCUGAGUGAUGUGUUUUGGUUUAAAUUGUGUUAUUUCACUCUCUCUCUCUCGAUCAUCUUGACAAAAUGUAGUUGUAGACAAAUUUUUUAUUCAUUAGUAACUGAUCAUCUUUUUAUUGAGAAUAUUUAUUUAGUACAUUAUUAUAGGUAGAAGAAGCUCCUUAUCUUUGGAGCAACUAGAAAGAGUGAGAGACAUGGAGAUGAUCUUGACCGGGGGGAAAAGUGUUUCAUGCAUCAGCGAACCUCUUCUUCUGACUCUGGGAAGAGAGGCUUGAGCGGAGGAAAUCUUGUUUCACAGCGUUCUUGACGGUCCCGUUGAUGAAUCUCUGGUACCAUUUGCCAGAUUCUUUGAGGUUUCUAUCGUCAAGAUCUUCCCAAUUAACGUAACUGAGUCCAAAUCUGACGGUAAAGCCUUUACAGAAUUCAUAAUUGUCUCCAAGAGCCCAUGCGAAGUAUCCUCUCACGUUGACACCCUUCUCC